AAGGUUUCCGUAGGUGAACCUGCGGAAGGAUCAUUAUUGAAAUACUCGAGGAGGGGUUGNUGCUGGUCGAAAGACAACGUGCACACCUUUUCUUAUCCAUUUCUUUUAAAAACCUGUGAACCUCUUGUAGGCCAAGAGAUUGGUCUACGUUUUAUCAAACNCCUGUGGNGUGUGCRYGNGAACGUGUGNUAUNUUUAAUAAUAACACCACUUCCUUSAACGAAUUUAAUAUAUACACAACUUUCAACAACGGAUCUCUUGGCUCUCGCAUCGAUGAAGAACGCAGCGAAAUGCGAUAAGUAAUGUGAAUUGCAGAAUUCAGUGAAUCAUCGAAUCUUUGAACGCACCUUGCGCUCCUUGGUAUUCCGAGGAGCAUGCCUGUUUGAGUGUCGCGAACUUCUCAACCUUGGCAAUUUUAGUUUUGCCGAGGCUUGGAUCGUGGAGGUUCUGCCGGACUUGAUAAUAACGAGUUGGGCUCCUCUGAAAUGCAUCAGCAGACUUCUUUUAAAUUGCGGGCUUUGGUUUGAUAAUUUAUCUAUGUCAUCGCCAUCUGUUGAAGGGUCAGCUUACAAUCGUCCUCUGGACACACACUCCACGCUUUUGACCUCAAAUCCA
rnacentral:rRNA from 1 species